rnacentral:rRNA from 1 species
UACGUAGGGGGCAAGCGUUAUCCGGAUUUACUGGGUGUAAAGGGAGCGUAGGCGGCGAUGCAAGUCAGAAGUGAAAGCCCGGGGCUCAACUCCGGGACUGCUUUUGAAACUGUGUUGCUAGAUUGCAGGAGAGGUAAGUGGAAUUCCUAGUGUAGCGGUGAAAUGCGUAGAUAUUAGGAGGAACACCAGUGGCGAAGGCGGCUUACUGGACUGUAAAUGACGCUGAGGCUCGAAAGCGUGGGGAGCAAACAGG